AGUGAUUUAAGUUAAAAAAACUAAUAGCCUUCAAAGCUUUUUUUGGCAAACAGCCAAUCCCUA
rnacentral:tRNA from 1 species